rnacentral:rRNA from 1 species
ACACGCUGGCGGCGUGCCUAACACAUGCAAGUCAACUUGACUGAAGAGCAAUCUGACAGUAGAGUGGCGCAAGGGUGCGUAACGCGUAAGUAACUUGCCCAAGGUAAGGAAUAACGUCGAGAAAUCGGCGCUAAUACCUCAUAAUGCAGCGGAUCCGCAUGGAUAUGUUGUUAAAGGUUUACCGCCUUGGGAUAGGCUUGCGUCUGAUUAGCUAGUUGGUGUGGUAACGGCACACCAAGGCUACGAUCAGUAACUGGUCUGAGAGGAUGAUCAGUCACACUGGAACUGAGACACGGUCCAGACUCCUACGGGAGGCAGCAGUGAGGAAUAUUGGGCAAUGCUCGAAAGAGUGACCCAGCAACGCCGCGUGGAGGAUGAAGGUAUUCUAUAUCGUAAACUCCUGUGAGAGCAGACGAAAGACAGAUUAUUAAUCUGGAUGACUGUAUGCUCAGAGGAAGCCCCGGCUAACUACGUG